AACGAACGCUGGCGGCAGGCCUAACACAUGCAAGUCGAGCGGGGGAGCAAUCCCUAGCGGCGGACGGGUGAGUAACGCGUGGGAACGUACCCUUUGCUUCGGAAUAGCCCCCGGGAAACUGGGAGUAAUACCGGAUGUGCCCUACGGGGGAAAGAAUUUCGGCAAAGGAUCGGCCCGCGUUGGAUUAGGUAGUUGGUGGGGUAAUGGCCUACCAAGCCGACGAUCCAUAGCUGGUUUGAGAGGAUGAUCAGCCACACUGGGACUGAGACACGGCCCAGACUCCUACGGGAGGCAGCAGUGGGGAAUCUUAGACAAUGGGCGCAAGCCUGAUCUAGCCAUGCCGCGUGAGCGAUGAAGGCCUUAGGGUUGUAAAGCUCUUUCGUGGGGGAAGAUAAUGACGGUACCCCAAGAAGAAGCCCCGGCUAACUCCGUGCCAGCAGCCGCGGUAAU
rnacentral:rRNA from 1 species